rnacentral:rRNA from 1 species
UACGUAGGGGGCUAGCGUUGUCCGGAUUUAUUGGGCGUAAAGAGCGUGUAGGCGGCCAGGUAGGUCCGUUGUGAAAACUCGAGGCUCAACCUCGAGACGUCGGCGGAAACCCUCUGGCUAGAGUCCGGAAGAGGAGAAUGGAAUUCCCGGUGUAGCGGUGAAAUGCGCAGAUAUCGGGAAGAACACCUGCGGCGAAGGCGGGUUGCUGGGCUGACACUGACGCUGAUGCGCGAAGCCAGGGGAGCGAACGGG